UUUGAAUGGAGGGCUUCAUAUUUAAGGA
rnacentral:piRNA from 1 species